CUCAGCGCGAACGCUGGCGGCAUUGGCUAAAACAUGCAAGUCGAACGCGAAAGUACCUUCGGGUGCGAGUAGAGUGGCGAAAGGGCGAGGAAUACGUUUCUAACGUGCCCCUGGGUGAGGGAUAGCAUCGGGAAACCGGUGGUAAUACCUCAUGACCCCCGGUUGUCGCAUGGCAGCCGGGGCAAAGGUUUACCGCCCGGGGAUCGGGAAACGUCCUAUCAGGUAGUUGGUGAGGUAACGGCUCACCAAGCCUUAGACGGGUAGCGGGCGUGAGAGCGUGACCCGCCGCAUCGGGACUGAGACACUGCCCGGACUCCUACGGGAGGCUGCAGUAACGAAUAUUCCGCAAUGCGCGAAAGCGUGACGGAGCAAUGCCGCGUGAAGGAUGAAGCCCCUCGGGGUGUAAACUUCUGUCAGGGAAUAGGAACAAAAUGACCGUUCCCAAAGGAAGGGCCGGCUAACUUCGUGCCAGCAGCCGCGGUAAUACGAAGGGCCCGAGCGUUGCGCGGAAUCACUGGGCUUAAAGGGUGCGUAGGCGGAACUGUAAGUACUUUGUGAAAUCCCUCGGCUCAACCGGGGAAUUGCUUGGUAUACUGCGGUUCUUGAGGCCAGUAGGGGCAGCCGGAACUCUAGGUGGAGCGGUGAAAUGCAUAGAUAUCUAGAGGAACGCCAAAGGUGAAGACAGGCUGCUGGGCUGGACCUGACGCUGAGGCACGAAAGCGUGGGGAGCAAACAGGAUUAGAUACCCUGGUAGUCCACGCCGUAAACGUUGUGCACUAGGUCCCGGAGGUUUUGACGCCAUCGGGGCUGGAGCAAAAAGUAUUAAGUGCACCGCCUGGGGAGUACGGUCGCAAGGCUAAAACUCAAAGGAAUUGACGGGGGCUCACACAAGCGGUGGAGCAUGUGGCUUAAUUCGAAGCAACGCGAAGAACCUUAUCCUGGGUUUGACAUGUAUGGAUUAACCUCGUGAAAGCGAGGCCACGCCCUUUGGGUGGAACAUACACAGGUGCUGCAUGGCUGUCGUCAGCUCGUGCCGUGAGGUGUUAGGUUAAGUCACUUCAACGAGCGAAACCCUUGCCGUUAGUUGCCAGCGCGCACUUCGGGUGGCGGGGACUCUAGCGGGACUGCCGGUGUCAAACCGGAGGAAGGUGGGGAUGACGUCAAGUCCUCAUGGCCUUUAUGCCCAGGGCUGCACACGUGCUACAAUGGCGCGCACAGAGCGAAGCGAUGCCGCGAGGCGGAGCAAAUCGCAAAAAACGCGCCCCAGUUCAGAUUGUAGUCUGCAACUCGACUACAUGAAGGCGGAAUCGCUAGUAAUCGCGUAUCAGCAAUGACGCGGUGAAUAUGUUCCUGAGCAUUGUACACACCGCCCGUCAAGUCAUGGAAGCCGGGAGUGCCCGAAGUCGCCCAAACUCAUGGGUGCAUACGGCAAGCUCGCUGACUGGGACUAAGUCGUA
rnacentral:rRNA from 1 species